UACAGAGGUCCCAAGCGUUGUUCGGAUUCACUGGGCGUAAAGGGUGCGUAGGUGGUGAGGUAAGUCCGAUGUGAAAGCUCCGAGCUCAACUCGGAAAUUGCAUUAGAAACUACCUUGCUCGAGGGUUGGAGGGGGGACUGGAAUUCUCGGUGUAGCAGUGAAAUGCGUAGAUAUCGAGAGGAACACCAGUGGCGAAGGCGAGUCCCUGGACAACUCCUGACACUGAGGCACGAAAGCUAGGGGAGCAAACGGG
rnacentral:rRNA from 1 species